rnacentral:rRNA from 1 species
ACAAGGCAUACGGCUCAGUAACGCGUAGUCAACCUACCCUAUGGACGGGGAUAAUCUCGGGAAACUGAGCAUAAUACCCGGCAGACCACUUAUCCUGGAAUGGUUAGUGGUUAAAAUGAUUCGUCGCCAUAGGAUGGGACUGCGGCCUAUCAGCUUGUUGGUGAGGUAAUGGCCCACCAAGGCGAUUACAGGUACGGGCUCUGAGAGGAGAGGCCCGGAGAUGGGUACUGAGACAAGGACCCAGGCCCUAUGGGGCGCAGCAGGCGAGAAAACUUUGCAAUGUGCGAAAGCACGACAAGGUUAAUCCGAGUGAUUUCUGCUAAAGGAAUCUUUUGUUAGUUCUAAAAAUACUAGUGAAUAAGGGGUGGGCAAGUUCUGGUGUCAGCCGCCGCGGUAAAGCCAGCACCUCAAGUGGUCAGGAGGAUUAUUGGGCCUAAAGCAUCCGUAGCCUGUUCUAUAAGUUUGCGGUUAAAUCUAUACGCUCAA